GUAGGGAAUUUUGCGCAAUGGGCGAAAGCCUGACGCAGCAACACCGCGUGAGCGAUGAAGCCCCUUGGGGUGUAAAGCUCUGUCAGUAGGGAAGAAUUAAUGACUGUACCUACAGAGGAAGCAUCGGCUAACUACGUGCCAGCAGCCGCGGUAAGACGUAGGAUGCAAGCGUUGUCCGGAAUUAUUGGGCGUAAAGAGUUCGUAGGCGGCAUAUCAAGUCUGGUGUUAAAGACUGGGGCUCAACUCCAGAAGGGCACUGGAUACUGAUAAGCUAGAGUACAGAAGAGGCAAGGGGAAUUCCCAGUGUAGCGGUGAAAUGCGUAGAUAUUGGGAGGAACACCAGUGGCGUAAGCGCCUUGCUGGGCUGUUACUGACGCUGAGGAACGAAAGCCAGGGGAGCAAAUGGGAUUAGAUACCCUAGUAGUCC
rnacentral:rRNA from 1 species